rnacentral:rRNA from 1 species
UAGGGAAUCUUCGGCAAUGGGGGGAACCCUGACCGAGCAACGCCGCGUGAGUGAAGAAGGUUUUCGGAUCGUAAAGCUCUGUUGUUAAGGAAGAACGAGUGUGAGAAUGGAAAGUUCAUGCUGUGACGGUACUUAACCAGAAAUGGACGGCUAACUACGUGCCAGCAGCCGCGGUAAUACGUAGGUCCCGAGCGUUGUCCGGAUUUAUUGGGCGUAAAGCGAGCGCAGGCGGUUAGAAAAGUCUGAAGUGAAAGGCAGUGGCUCAACCAUUGUAGGCUUUGGAAACUGUUUAACUUGAGUGCAGAAGGGGAGAGUGGAAUUCCAUGUGUAGCGGUGAAAUGCGUAGAUAUAUGGAGGAACACCGGUGGCGAAAGCGGAUCUCUGGUCUGUAACUGACGCUGAGGCUCGAAAGCGUGGGGAGCGAACAGG